rnacentral:rRNA from 1 species
AUGCAGCGGCAGCUCGUGGAAGGUUGCACACAGGGCGUCGCAAGCUCAAGGAGGCACAACACCACACAGCAGCAGCUCAGGGGAGGACGCCCUUGCCGGUAUAGCUGCUGCAAGGUCGCACGACGUACGGCGAGGUUGCAGGGCGGCCAUCCACCAUGGACGAACAGAGUACAAGCAAAAGGAAGAAGAGAUAAGGUACAUGUCCGAUUGGGGAUUACUCAUCCUGAUUUGGACCAGGGGCAUUUUGGUCACAUAAUUUAUACUAUAAUCUGCCAAAUGAUCCAAACCGUGUACGGAGGGCAAAUCCUCAAGAUUACAGCAAAUGCGUGGUAA